GACUGCAGUGAGUGACAGCAUGAUAGCAUGGCAGAGAGGAGCGUUGUGUAGAGGUAUUUUAUGGUUGCAAAUGAAAACAUUGCAAACUUUGAUGUGUGUAUGAAGGCUAUUCGCUACUGUGGGAACACCACCAAUUUAUACAAAUGCAUGAAGAACCACAAAAAGAGAACUGUGAGUUGCAAAAGAAAUGAACAGAGCAGGAGAGAAAUCCCUCCGACAGACCCAGACCCCAGGCACAGAGACAAAUCUCACUGGCACAGUCUUUUCAGAGAGCUUCAAGAAGACACCCCAUGAGGGCAACUGACUCCACACCUUCCAGUCCCAGUCCUUAAUGGCGUAGUCGGCAGGAUAUGAAGUCCGAAGAAAAAUGACCGAAGGACAGGACCUGAACUUGGUGCUGAAUACCCUGGCCACGGAGCUGCAGGCACUCAAGGUGGAACACGCUGCCACAAGGGCAGAGCUGGCAGAUGCAAAGAGAUGACUGACCGCGGCAGAACUGGUAAAACCGGAGUCCUCGCGGUCGCCGCCUCCUCCAAUUUUGGCACUAACCGAGGCGGACAACAUUGAGUCGUACCUCACCAUAUUUGAGUUGACUGCCACCCGUAAUCAGUGGCUGCAUGCGGAGUGGGCCGAUAUAUUGGCCCCGUACCUAAAGGGCCCGGUACAGCAGGCUUAUCAUGACCUCCUUGAGGAGGAAGCCGCCCAGUACACUCUCCUAAAGGCCGAGAUCUUUAAAUGCUACAGCGUGAUCUCUGACCAGCAGGCGAGGGAGUGGCGGCAUUGGCGUUUUGACCCCAAUGGUCCCCCUAGGGCCCAGGCCUUUGAGUUCUGGGGUAAGAUCGGGUGCUAGCUACGGCCAGACGUCAACCAGGCUCGGCAAGUGGUGGAGUUGGUUGUGUGUGAGGCAUUCUUAUAUGCAAUGCCGGAGUAUCUCGCCCAGCAGGUCCGGAGAUAUCCUUUCAAGACCAUGGACGGCCUUUUGGAGGUACUCGAACGCCAGCUGGCGGUGAACCGACUUGGGAAGGCGGAGAGGUCAGCUCGCGGGGCUCGACAGGGACGUGUGGCCAUUCCUGAGGCCACCCGCCGCGGUCUGGAGGCUCCGGCUAAACCACGUGAUCGACCCCCCUCCUUGCCGCGCUGUUUCAAGUGCGGUGAGCAGGGGCACAUCGUCAGCUCUUGCCUGCUGAACCACAAGCCGAUGGACUGCAGCUGGAUUUGGGGAGAGAGGUACUGUGCACUGUCGAAUCCCCUGGCAGUAAAAAACACUGGAAAGAAUUAAACUCUGGUUUUAUUGGCCUGGGAUCAACGAGGAGGUCAGGCGCUUCUGUCAGUCCUGCCCGGUCUACCAGCUGCGCCAGAUUCUCAGAAGGGACCGAGCCCCUCUCAUCCCUAUACCCCUCAUCGAUGUGCCAUUUGAACAGAUCGGGAUCAAUCUGGUAGGACCCCUGAAACCUUCGAAACGAGGCCAUAAAUACAUUUUAGUUAUGGUCGAUGAUGCCACCCGAUACCCGGAAGCGGUUCCCUUGCAAGCUGCCAAUUCGAAAAGCAUCACGCAGGAACUAGUAGCCCUCUUUGCCCAGGUGACGAAGCGGAAGCGGAAGUAGAAGCAGACAAUGGCC